UAAUAACUAUCGCCGGAUAGACAGCAUUCAUCCGAUUCCGUAGGCCAAUGUGGAAUCGAAUGGGUAGCUGUCUUUUU
rnacentral:ncRNA from 1 species